AAUAAAAUGGCUGAAUUAUAAGCGGUAAAUUGUAAAUUUAUUUAUGAGAAAAUCUCUUUUAUUA
rnacentral:tRNA from 1 species